rnacentral:piRNA from 1 species
UAAGGAGCUCUUGGAAGGAUGCUUCCUGG